UACGUAGGGUGCAAGCGUUGUCCGGAAUUAUUGGGCGUAAAGAGCUCGUAGGCGGUCUGUCGCGUCUGCUGUGAAAACUCAGGGCUUAACCCUGAGCUUGCAGUGGGUACGGGCAGACUAGAGUGCGGUAGGGGAGACUGGAAUUCCUGGUGUAGCGGUGAAAUGCGCAGAUAUCGGGAGGAACACCGGUGGCGAAGGCGGGUCUCUGGGCCGUAACUGACGCUGAGGAGCGAAAGCGUGGGGAGCGAACAGG
rnacentral:rRNA from 1 species